rnacentral:rRNA from 1 species
CCUACGGGAGGCAGCAGUGGGGAAUAUUGGGCAAUGGAGGAAACUCUGACCCAGCAACGCCGCGUGAAGGAUGAAGGUUUUCGGAUUGUAAACUUCUGUUGCGAGGGAUGAAGAAUGACGGUACCUCGUGAGGAAGCCCCGGCAAACUACGUGCCAGCAGCCGCGGUAAUACGUAGGGGGCAAGCGUUGUCCGGAAUGACUGGGCGUAAAGGGAGUGUAGGCGGCCUUUUAAGUUAUAUGUGAAAGCCCCCGGCUUAACCGAGGAACUGCAUAUAAAACUGGAGGGCUGGAGUGCAGGAGAGGUAAGCGGAAUUUCUAGUGUAGCGGUGGAAUGCGUAGAUAUUAGGAAGAACACCGGAGGCGAAGGCGGCUUACUGGACUGUAACUGACGCUGAGGCUCGAAAGCGUGGGGAGCAAACAGGAUUAGAUACCCGGGUAGUC